rnacentral:rRNA from 1 species
AAACCAACCGGGAUUGCCUCAGUAACGGCGAGUGAGCGGCAAAAGCUCAAAUUUGAAAUCUGGCACUUUCAGUGUCCGAGUUGUAAUUUGUAGAAGUAGUUUUGGGACUGGUCCUUAUCUAUGUUUCUUGGAACAGGACGUCAUAGAGGGUGAGAACCCCGUAUGAUGAGGCCCCCAGUCCUUUGUAAAACGCUUUCGAAGAGUCGAGUUGUUUGGGAAUGCAGCUCUAAGUGGGUGGUAAAUUCCAUCUAAAGCUAAAUAUUGGCGAGAGACCGAUAGCGAACAAGUACAGUGAUGGAAAGAUGAAAAGAACUUUGAAAAGAGAGUGAAAAAGUACGUGAAAUUGUUGAAAGGGAAGGGCAUUUGAUCAGACAUGGUGUUUUGCGCCCUUUGCUCCUUGUGGGCGGAGGAUACGCAGCUCACUGGGCCAACAUCAGUUUUGGGAGCAGGAUAAAUCUGUAGGAACGUAGCUUUCUUCGGGAAGUGUUAUAGCCUAUGGGAAUACUGCUACCUGGGACUGAGGACUGCGUCUUUUGACAAGGAUGUUGGCAUAAUGGUUAAAUGCCGC